GGUUGACAGCAGUUUUAUAUUUAAUGGUUUUAAACAACAAAAGAAAACUUAAUAGUAAUGUCAAGUAGAUUCUAAUGUUGUUUUGAAAGGUGAUUGACAUGUUUUAGUCAUAAAAAUUCCAAAACAGAUACACAAUAGUUUCAAAUGACUUUAUGCAACAUCAUCUAAAUGGAUAAAUUUUGACAAAGCAAUUUCAAUCUCAAUGUCUUAUUGUGAUGUAGAACCUUACCAAGAUUCCUCAUUCAUGACUUGCUUAGUCAAUCCAUAAAAGGGAAGUUUUGAUGCAAUUUGCUGUCAUCCCAAGUGCACCUUAGUCCUUAAAACUAACUUUUAGUUGCUUUUAUUCAAAUCAUUCAAUUGGGUGCAUUUCUUAUGAGUGGCCACAAUAGCAAUGCGAUAUAUAUAUUCUUAAUUAUGUUGUUUGAUAAGCUGAUGUGAUGCCUAUUUUUUCAUCCAAUGGUCCAUUCUUUUUUCUUAUUUUUUCAACCUUUUUAUUAAUUAACUUUGAAGAAAUAAUCUUGUUUGGGUAUUUACCUGUUAUGAAUAAGGGAUGGAAGAGCUUGGUGAGUUUAAUUAGAUGGGCUGACUGUAAUGAGCUGGACUGUUAUCUGUUAUUUUGUUAAGUAGUAGGUGUUAGUAUAAGUAGUAGGUGUUAGAGCACUGUUCUCGAGUGGGCUUGCUUCCAAAUCAGUUUGUGGGAGUUGCAACCAUGGGAGGUCAAUGGCAGUCUUCCAAAUUCCAGGGUUCUCCAAAUGAUCUUGCUUAUCGAGAGACUGCAAGAAGGGUUCCGGCAUCAAACAGAUUGCCUUCUUGGAAAUUCUGUCAAGCUGCAUGAAGACCAAGAUGCCUCAAGUGAAGUUUCCAAUAAGAAUGACAAGGGCACUAUUGAGAUGGGGUAGCAUGAUUUUCUUCCUAAUAUGUCUAGUAUAAGUGAGGUUUUUGAGGAGAAGAAUGAUGACGAUGUAGAAGACUGAAACCAUGGAAUUGAAGUUUAUUGGGGUGAUGACAAGGAAUUGAGAAAGAAUGGGGAGAGUGAGGCUAAGGGGAAGGCUAUAUCGCUUGAUAAAAGAUAAUCAUUCAUGGUGGAAAUGAACAGAAUAAGACUCAAAAGGAGGAACAAAAAUUUCAAAUUAUAGAGGUUUUUAUAGAAAAUAAAAAGAUUUCUCAAUGCAUGGAAGACCAUCAUCAGGGUUUGGAUUCAAAAGCUUCCCUUGUCAAUUCAGGGUUUAGAGAAUUGGAGCUUGGGAAUAUUUCGGAAAAUGAACAUGGGAAGAGUGUGAGACUUGUUAAUGGCAACACUUUUAAGAGGGUGUCUUCUGUAAAGAAAGGAAUUGGGUUUUGUUUUGUAAUUAGAAGUGAUACUGAAGGUAGUCUUCUUCUUGUUGGAAUUGUUGAAGAUUUUGAAAACAAUAAUGAUGUCUAUAUUGGGAAUAUUUCAAUUCAAGAAGAUUUGGAAGAGGCAUAUCAUACUCAAAGAGAAUGAAUUUGAAAAAUGGAGGAGACAGAAGAAGAAAAUCCAAUUGAAUGUGGUGGAAAUGCUAAUAAUACUGACACUACUGCCUCUAUUCCAAAAUUUUCUUUUCAAGCUUUGAUGCAGAUGAUUAUAGAUUCUACAAGCAUUUAAGGGUUAGCUUUAUUUAUUUAUUUAUUUUUUCAUUCUUGGGGACAAGAAUGAUUUCAAGGAGUGGGGAAUGUUAUGACUAAGGGAUGGAAGAGUUUGAUGAGUUUAAUUAGAUGGGCUGACUGUAAUGAGCCAGGUUGUUAUCUGUUAUUUUGUUAAGUAGUAGGUGUUAGUAUAAAUAGGAGGGAGUACUUGUAAUUGAGGCAUUUCUAUAAUCAAUAACAAAUGUUGAAUUCUUCUUUCUUU